CCACCCCCCACCCCCUCCGCGGAUGAACAAUACAGGCAGGAAAAAGGAAUAGCAGGGCUACAGGAGAGAGUGAGACAAGUGAAGCUCAGUCACCAUCCAAAAUAAAGACAUUCUUCAGUCCAGCUUUUCUAUAUUCCUUUUCACUCCAGCUUGCCCUUUUGAAUUUGCAGCUAGCAAAAGGAGACAGAUUUCAGCCCUUACUGCUGAGCCCUGCCCUGUGUGGUUUCCCCGCAUGUAAGCUCGGUUCACCAGGUCGAAGAGCACAAUUUCUGCCGAGACCGAGGUCUCUGUGCUGCUUGGAUGAACUGGCUGAAAA